rnacentral:tRNA from 1 species
GGAGAGAUGUCCGAGUGGUUUAAGGAGCACGCUUGGAAAGCGUGUGUGCGUUAUAAGCGUACCGGGGGUUCGAAUCCCCCUCUCUCCG